rnacentral:rRNA from 1 species
CCUACGGGUGGCUGCAGUGGGGAAUAUUGGACAAUGGGCGAAAGCCUGAUCCAGCCAUGCCGCGUGUGUGAAGAAGGCCUUCGGGUUGUAAAGCACUUUCAGUGGGGAAGAAAGCCUUGGGGCUAAUACCCUCGAGGAAGGACAUCACCCACAGAAGAAGCACCGGCUAACUCCGUGCCAGCAGCCGCGGUAAUACGGAGGGUGCGAGCGUUAAUCGGAAUUACUGGGCGUAAAGCGCGCGUAGGCGGUCUGAUAAGCCGGUUGUGAAAGCCCCGGGCUCAACCUGGGAACGGCAUCCGGAACUGUCAGGCUAGAGUGCAGGAGAGGAAGGUAGAAUUCCCGGUGUAGCGGUGAAAUGCGUAGAGAUCGGGAGGAAUACCAGUGGCGAAGGCGGCCUUCUGGACUGACACUGACGCUGAGGUGCGAAAGCGUGGGUAGCAAACAUGAUUAGAUACCCUGGUAGUC